UACGAAGGGGGCUAGCGUUGCUCGGAAUCACUGGGCGUAAAGGGUGCGUAGGCGGGUCUUUAAGUCAGGGGUGAAAUCCUGGAGCUCAACUCCAGAACUGCCUUUGAUACUGAAGAUCUUGAGUUCGGGAGAGGUGAGUGGAACUGCGAGUGUAGAGGUGAAAUUCGUAUGUAUUCGCAAGAACACCAGUGGCGAAGGCGGCUCACUGGCCCGAUACUGACGCUGAGGCACGAAAGCGUGGGGAGCAAACAGG
rnacentral:rRNA from 1 species